rnacentral:rRNA from 1 species
GUGAGGAAUAUUGCGCAAUGGAGGCAACUCUGACGCAGCCAUGCCGCGUGCAGGAAGAAGGCGCUACGCGUUGUAAACUGCUUUUAACCGGGAAGAAACCCCAGGACGUGUCCUGGGUUGACGGUACCGGAGGAAUAAGCACCGGCUAACUUCGUGCCAGCAGCCGCGGUAAUACGAAGGGUGCAAGCGUUAUCCGGAUUCAUUGGGUUUAAAGGGUGCGUAGGCGGAGCGUUAAGUCAGUGGUGAAAUCCUGCAGCUUAACUGUAGACUUGCCAUUGAUACUGGCGCUCUUGAGUGCGCUUGAAGUGGGCGGAAUGUGCCGUGUAGCGGUGAAAUGCUUAGAUAUGGCACAGAACACCAAUUGCGAAGGCAGCUCACUAAGGCGAUACUGACGCUGAGGCACGAGAGCGUGGGGAUCGAACAGGAUUAGAAACCCUUGUAGUCC